UAAGUAAUUUGAAAAAGAACAAAUUGUCUUUCCAUCUGCUUCUUUUCUUAAGUGGCUCUAACCUACUUCUUUUAAGUUUGCCCUAAAGCCAGAUUGUCUUGUGAUUGGCCGCACCAAGAAGGCCUGGAGCAGAGAGAGUGGGAUUCACGGCUGAGCCUCUUCUGUCACCAACUCCAUUGCACCACAGACCUGGGAGUUGUCAUUCUACUGCUGACUGCCACAUUAAAGACGAGAUGAUCCUAGCAGGAAUCUGUAUUUCUCUUGAUGAGAAAAUGGAAAUAUUGUAUUAUGUUCAGAAAUUAAGUGUGAACACUUACUAAUAG
rnacentral:lncRNA from 1 species